rnacentral:pre_miRNA from 1 species
GUCCCCGGCCUCCUCAUUGUGCAUGCUGUGUGUCUGCGGUGCUUCCCGCACAGCGCCUGCAAUGUGGAGGUGGAGGAU